GUCGUAUUGGUUGAUUGGGAAACUCAUCAGUUAAUAAAAUACCGAGACAAGCGUUCAAUUCUGAUGGCGGGCCACACCUUUCGGGGUUGUCUUUGACACCGUGGAUUACAAAGGAACUGAAGCACUCAAAUCCUGUUUUAUGGGGUUUCGUCUACAUCUUACCAAUACGACAUUC
rnacentral:sRNA from 1 species